CUUCUUCAACCUGUUGAGGACAAAUAAAGUGAAUAUGCGAAUCCACACCACCGGCCGUUAAUAUUUGGCCUUCUCCGGCAAUUACCUCGGUACCUGGCCCAACGACUAUAUCAACACCGGGCUGUACAUCAGGGUUACCGGCUUUACCAAUACCAACAAUACGUCCAUGUUUAAUACCAACAUCCGCUUUAAUAAUACCCCAGUGAUCUAGAAUUAAUGCAUUGGUAAUGACCACAUCAACGACCUCCGCAUCUACACGUUGGCUCUGCCCCAUUCCAUCACG
rfam:Cycloclasticus sp. P1, complete genome.